GAAGAAGACCACAGAUUUAUGACAUACUCUUUUCUAAUAAAAGGUCCACUCUUGAUGACUGAAUAUGCUGAAACUCAAACCUUGACUUCAGCAUUUUCUGAAAGCUAAAUCUUAAUUAGCUGGUGCAAGAAUGUCUUGUAGUCUCCCCUGGCUGCUGCUCUGAUGAAUCUUCAUUCUCCAUAGAUAUCCAUGAUUUGACUAUAAGCCUGGACUCCCCCAAACAAUGGGAGAAAAAGUCAAGCUGAGGAGAAGGGUUUCUGCAUUCAAGGUAUUUAAUCUUGUGUUUUGCAGUUUAUGCUUUGCACAUUAUUGACA